rnacentral:rRNA from 1 species
GAUAAACGCUGGCGGCGUGCCUAAUGCAUGCAAGUCGCACGGAGUGCCUCUUCGGGGGCGCUGAGUGGCGAACGGGUGAGGAACGCGUGGAGAACCUACCCGGCGUGGGGGAUACCCGCCAGAAAUGGUGGCUAAUACCGCGUACGGUCCAGGGGCGAGAGGCCAUCUGGAAGAAAGCAGUGAUGCGCGCUGGGAGAGGUCUGCGCCCGAUUAGCUAGUUGGCGGGGAACGGCCCACCAAGGCGGUGAUCGGUAGCUGGUCUGAGAGGAUGAUCAGCCACACGGGGACUGAGACACGGCCCCGACUCCUACGGGAGGCAGCAGCAAGGAAUUUUCCGCAAUGGGGGCAACCCUGACGGAGCAACGCCGCCGUGACGGAUGACG